CAGCAGCAAAGUUGUCAUUCGCUCGCUGUUUCUGUCUUUCUUAUUUUAUUUUUACAUCCUUGUCACUAUAUUGCUCCGUGUUGCUAUUGUUGUAUGAAUUGGCCUGCUGUUGUUCUAACAAUAGAAGUGACCUGCAAUUUUUUUCAAUAAAGUUGAUUUGUUUGCAGAUUCUUGUAUGGGCAGAAGAAAGAUAGAAUUGACUUUGUGUAUAGACUAUCCUAUGGAUGUCGAUGGCUAUCACCGGCCAAAGGAGGGUGACGUCAGAUGUUGUAGAGCGUUAGCGAGGAGCUCUCGGACAAAUAUGGCGGUGGCUAAUGAGCACAGUCUACUCAUUGAGGAGGUCUUUACUAAAAUGAGUCACUAAAGUUGGAGAGGAAGAAAAAAUAC